UAACUAAAGGUCAAAACAUUUCAAACAGAUUUAAAAAGGAUUUUUUAAAUGAGUUUGAAAUGGCUUUUAGAUAAAAGAAAACAAAAGAAAAAAAAAGGGGAAACAUCUCCCUCCAUUUGUUUUGGCCCGAAGACCCCUAGCCCCUCCCCUCUUCCCUUCCGGCCCAGCACGCCACCCCUUUUUCCAUCUCUCGCUCGGCCCACUCCCUCGGCCCAACCGCACGCGGCCACUCCUUUCUCCCCGCGGCCCGCGUCCCUCCCUUCUCUCCCUGACAACUGGGCCCAUCUUGUCAGCCGCCCUUUCCCUUCUUCAACCCCGCGUCGGGUGCGUGUAGGACUCUGUUCCUACCGAAACUAUCCAAUCUUGUGGGGAUUUUUGCCCGAUUCACGAACCUUGGUCCUUUAAAGGGGAACGGGGAUCCUACCGCCUCCGUUUCUUCCUGUUUUCCUGGACUCGAGCUCCAUCCUACCCUAGCAUAGCUCGCAAACACCGCCGCCAUCCUGUAGACUGACUCCG
rnacentral:lncRNA from 1 species